rnacentral:rRNA from 1 species
CUACGGGACGCUGCAGUGGGGAAUUUUGCGCAAUGGGGGCAACCCUGACGCAGCGACGCCGCGUGAGUGAAGAAGGCUUUCGAGUUGUAAAGCUCUGUUAGGAGGGAAGAAACCAUAUAUUCGGAUAAUGGAUAUAUGUUGACAGUACCUUCAGAGGAAGCACCGGCUAACUCUGUGCCAGCAGCCGCGGUAAUACAGAGGGUGCAAGCGUUAUUCGGAAUUACUGGGCGUAAAGCGCAUGUAGGUGGGAUAUCAAGUCAGGUGUGAAAGCCCGAGGCUUAACCUUGGGACUGCAUUUGAUACUGGUAUUCUUGAGAUUGCGAGAGGGAAGUGGAAUUCCAGGUGUAGCGGUGAAAUGCGUAGAUAUCUGGAGGAACAUCGGUGGCGAAGGCGGCUUCCUGGAGCAAGACUGACACUGAGAUGCGAGAGCGUGGGUAGCAAACAGGAUUAGAUACCCGGGUAGUC